UGGAUAUGAUGACCAAUUACCUGAGAAAUAAUUGAUGAAAUUCAAGAAAAUUCCUCUAGAUAGUCAAGUUCUGAUCCAG
rnacentral:snoRNA from 1 species